GAUGAAGAACGCAGCGAAAUGCGAUAAGUAAUGUGAAUUGCAGAAUUCAGUGAAUCAUCGAAUCUUUGAACGCACAUUGCGCCUCUUGGUAUUCCGAGGGGCAUGCCUGUUCGAGCGUCAUUAUAACCCCUCAAGCUCAGCUUGGUGUUGGGGCCUGCUGCACUGGCAGCCCUUAAAAUCAGUGGCGGCGCCAUCUGGCUCUAAGCGUAGUAGUUCUUCUCGCUAUGGAGUCCUGGUGGAUGCUUGCCAUCAACCCCCAAUUUUUCUAUGGUUGACCUCGGAUCAGGUAGGGAUACCCGCUGAACUUAAGCAUAUCAAUAAGCGGAGGA
rnacentral:misc_RNA from 1 species